rnacentral:rRNA from 1 species
UGGGGAAUCUUGGACAAUGGGCGCAAGCCUGAUCCAGCCAUGCCGCGUGGGCGAUGAAGGUCUUCGGAUUGUAAAGCCCUUUUGGCGGGGACGAUAAUGACGGUACCCGCAGAAUAAGCUCCGGCUAACUUCGUGCCAGCAGCCGCGGUAAUACGAAGGGGGCUAGCGUUGUUCGGAAUUACUGGGCGUAAAGCGUGCGCAGGCGGUUUUUCAAGUCAGAGGUGAAAGCCCCGGGCUCAACCCGGGAAUGGCCUUUGAGACUGGAUGGCUAGAGUGUGAGAGAGGUGAGUGGAAUUCCCAGUGUAGAGGUGAAAUUCGUAGAUAUUGGGAAGAACACCCGUGGCGAAGGCGGCUCACUGGCUCGCAACUGACGCUCAUGCACGACAGCGUGGGGAGCAAACAG